ACAUGCCUACAACAUAGCCCUAAUGAAUCGGAUCCCAUUAGAACUCCGUAGUUAAGCACACUUGGGCUAGAGUAGUAUUGGGAUGGGUGACCGCCUGGGAAGUCCUAGUGUUUUACAUGCC
rfam:Picea glauca, whole genome shotgun sequence.